rnacentral:rRNA from 1 species
GGUUAAGCGACUAAGCGUACACGGUGGAUGCCCUGGCAGUCAGAGGCGAUGAAGGGCGUGCUAAUCUGCGAUAAGCGCCGGUAAGGUGAUAUGAACCGUUAUAACCGGCGAUACCCGAAUGGGGAAACCCAGUGUGAUUCGUCACACUAUCAUUAACUGAAUCCAUAGGUUAAUGAGGCGAACCGGGGGAACUGAAACAUCUAAGUACCCCGAGGAAAAGAAAUCAACCGAGAUUCCCCCAGUAGCGGCGAGCGAACGGGGAGGAGCCCAGAGCCUGAAUCAGCAUGUGUGUUAGUGGAAGCGUCUGGAAAGGCGCGCGAUACAGGGUGACAGCCCCGUACACAAAAGCGCAUGUGUUGUGAGCUCGAUGAGUAGGGCGGGACACGUGGUAUCCUGUCUGAAUAUGGGGGGACCAUCCUCCAAGGCUAAAUACUCCUGACUGACCGAUAGUGAACCAGUACCGUGAGGGAAAGGCGAAAAGAACCCCGGCGAGGGGAGUGAAAAAGAACCUGAAACCGUGUACGUACAAGCAGUGGGAGCACAGGUUUACCUGUGUGACUGCGUACCUUUUGUAUAAUGGGUCAGCGACUUAUAUUCUGUAGCAAGGUUAACCGUAUAGGGGAGCCGGAGGGAAACCGAGUCUUAAUUGGGCGUUAAGUUGCAGGGUAUAGACCCGAAACCCGGUGAUCUAGCCAUGGGCAGGUUGAAGGUUGGGUAACACUAACUGGAGGACCGAACCGACUAAUGUUGAAAAAUUAGCGGAUGACCUGUGGCUGGGGGUGAAAGGCCAAUCAAACCGGGAGAUAGCUGGUUCUCCCCGAAAGCUAUUUAGGUAGCGCCUCGUGAAUUCAUCUCCGGGGGUAGAGCACUGUUUCGGCUAGGGGGCCAUCCCGGCUUACCAACCCGAUGCAAACUGCGAAUACCGGAGAAUGUUAUCACGGGAGACACACGGCGGGUGCUAACGUCCGUCGUGAAGAGGGAAACAACCCAGACCGCCAGCUAAGGUCCCAAAGUCAUGGUUAAGUGGGAAACGAUGUGGGAAGGCCCAGACAGCCAGGAUGUUGGCUUAGAAGCAGCCAUCAUUUAAAGAAAGCGUAAUAGCUCACUGGUCGAGUCGGCCUGCGCGGAAGAUGUAACGGGGCUAAACCAUGCACCGAAGCUGCGGCAGCGACGCUUAUGCGUUGUUGGGUAGGGGAGCGUUCUGUAAGCCUGUGAAGGUGGCCUGUGAGGCAUGCUGGAGGUAUCAGAAGUGCGAAUGCUGACAUAAGUAACGAUAAAGCGGGUGAAAAGCCCGCUCGCCGGAAGACCAAGGGUUCCUGUCCAACGUUAAUCGGGGCAGGGUGAGUCGACCCCUAAGGCGAGGCCGAAAGGCGUAGUCGAUGGGAAACGGGUUAAUAUUCCCGUACUUGGUGUUACUGCGAAGGGGGGACGGAGAAGGCUAUGUUGGCCGGGCGACGGUUGUCCCGGUUUAAGCGUGUAGGUGUGUGUUCCAGGUAAAUCCGGUUCACUUUAACACUGAGGCGUGACGACGAGGCACUACGGUGCUGAAGCAACAAAUGCCCUGCUUCCAGGAAAAGCCUCUAAGCAUCAGGUAACAUCAAAUCGUACCCCAAACCGACACAGGUGGUCAGGUAGAGAAUACCAAGGCGCUUGAGAGAACUCGGGUGAAGGAACUAGGCAAAAUGGUGCCGUAACUUCGGGAGAAGGCACGCUGACACGUAGGUGAAGUGAUUUACUCAUGGAGCUGAAGUCAGUCGAAGAUACCAGCUGGCUGCAACUGUUUAUUAAAAACACAGCACUGUGCAAACACGAAAGUGGACGUAUACGGUGUGACGCCUGCCCGGUGCCGGAAGGUUAAUUGAUGGGGUCAGCGCAAGCGAAGCUCCUGAUCGAAGCCCCGGUAAACGGCGGCCGUAACUAUAACGGUCCUAAGGUAGCGAAAUUCCUUGUCGGGUAAGUUCCGACCUGCACGAAUGGCGUAAUGAUGGCCAGGCUGUCUCCACCCGAGACUCAGUGAAAUUGAACUCGCUGUGAAGAUGCAGUGUACCCGCGGCAAGACGGAAAGACCCCGUGAACCUUUACUAUAGCUUGACACUGAACAUUGAGCCUUGAUGUGUAGGAUAGGUGGGAGGCUUUGAAGUGUGGACGCCAGUCUGCAUGGAGCCGACCUUGAAAUACCACCCUUUAAUGUUUGAUGUUCUAACGUGGACCCGUAAUCCGGGUUGCGGACAGUGUCUGGUGGGUAGUUUGACUGGGGCGGUCUCCUCCUAAAGAGUAACGGAGGAGCACGAAGGUUGGCUAAUCCUGGUCGGACAUCAGGAGGUUAGUGCAAUGGCAUAAGCCAGCUUGACUGCGAGCGUGACGGCGCGAGCAGGUGCGAAAGCAGGUCAUAGUGAUCCGGUGGUUCUGAAUGGAAGGGCCAUCGCUCAACGGAUAAAAGGUACUCCGGGGAUAACAGGCUGAUACCGCCCAAGAGUUCAUAUCGACGGCGGUGUUUGGCACCUCGAUGUCGGCUCAUCACAUCCUGGGGCUGAAGUAGGUCCCAAGGGUAUGGCUGUUCGCCAUUUAAAGUGGUACGCGAGCUGGGUUUAGAACGUCGUGAGACAGUUCGGUCCCUAUCUGCCGUGGGCGCUGGAGAACUGAGGGGGGCUGCUCCUAGUACGAGAGGACCGGAGUGGACGCAUCACUGGUGUUCGGGUUGUCAUGCCAAUGGCACUGCCCGGUAGCUAAAUGCGGAAGAGAUAAGUGCUGAAAGCAUCUAAGCACGAAACUUGCCCCGAGAUGAGUUCUCCCUGAGACUUAGAGUCUCCUGAAGGAACGUUGAAGACGACGACGUUGAUAGGCCGGGUGUGUAAGCGCAGCGAUGCGUUGAGCUAACCGGUACUAAUGAACCGUGAGGCUUAACCUUAC